rnacentral:lncRNA from 1 species
UAAUAUCUAUGAACCUAAAAAGGCCAAAAAGACCUAUAAUUUAGAACGGGCCGGGGGUACGUAGGUAACGUACUAGCAAAUUCAUUGAACUUUUUGUGUUGCUCCUUCGUUUUCUUGGUGGUCACUAACCUUUUGCAGCUGAUCCAUUCCUCCCAAUUAUUCCCUAGCUAGCUCCAGCAUGAAAACUAUCUUAGAUUUAUUCUCUAACCAAAAAAGUUAAUUAAUUUCCAACAGAAUAUGUUAAAUGAGAGAUGCAUUGAGGGGAUUGCUCAAAAGGUUAUAAGAAUUUAAUCCAAACCCUUAAUUUUUAAAAGAAUAACUGUCUGUUUUAAUAUUUUUUGAGAAGGCGUAGCUGAGCAUGUUUCAACUGGCAUGACGUAAGCAGACGUUGAAGCAGCAAGACAAAAGCGCGUCAUCAUGGUCGGUCUCCAUCAAAGGAAGUGGCCUUUCG